rnacentral:rRNA from 1 species
AGUGAACGCUGGCGGUAGGCCUAACACAUGCAAGUCGAACGGCAGCACAGGAGAGCUUGCUCUCUGGGUGGCGAGUGGCGGACGGGUGAGGAAUACAUCGGAAUCUACUCUGUCGUGGGGGAUAACGUAGGGAAACUUACGCUAAUACCGCAUACGACCUACGGGUGAAAGCAGGGGACCUUCGGGCCUUGCGCGAUUGAAUGAGCCGAUGUCGGAUUAGCUAGUUGGCGGGGUAAAGGCCCACCAAGGCGACGAUCCGUAGCUGGUCUGAGAGGAUGAUCAGCCACACUGGAACUGAGGCACGGUCCAGACUCCUACGGGAGGCAGCAGUGGGGAAUAUUGGACAAUGGGCGCAAGCCUGAUCCAGCCAUACCGCGUGGGUGAAGAAGGCCUUCGGGUUGUAAAGCCCUUUUGUUGGGAAAGAAAUCCAGCUGGCUAACACCCGGUUGGGAUGACGGUACCCAAAGAAUAAGCACCGGCUAACUUCGUGCCAGCAGCCGCCGUAA